rnacentral:misc_RNA from 1 species
GUGCAAUCCAUAACAUCCAAUAAGGCAAGUUCUGAACAGUCUGACUAAGUGAAAGCCAAAGAACUCCAUAACCAAAGAAACAAGAAAAAGAACCAAUUAACAGAACAACCCAAGGUGGAAACUUGUUACAUACAAGUCCAGGAAUAAGUCCAACAUUUUCACCUAUAUCAUUUGCCACUCCAAGCAUAGUUAGCUGCUGCUGAUUAAACCCCAAAACAGAUUUCAAAGAAUGAGAGUAAAGGGGGAAAUUGUAUGCAUUCCCAGAUGCUAUUUG